AGGACUAACGCUGGCGGCGUGCCUAACACAUGCAAGUCGAGCGGGGUAGCAAUACCCAGCGGCAGACGGGUGAGUAACGCGUGGUCAACCUUCCGUUGAAUGGGGGAUAACUAGCCGAAAGGUUAGCUAAUACCGCAUACGAUCUUUUGAAGGCAUCUUUAAAAGAUGAAAGGAGCAAUUCGUUCAACGACGGGACCGCGUCCCAUUAGCUAGAUGGUGGGGUAAUGGCCUACCAUGGCAACGAUGGGUAGCUGGUUUGAGAGAGCGACCAGCCACACUGGGACUGAGAAACGGCCCAGACUCCUACGGGAGGCAGCAGUGAGGAAUUUUCCGCAAUGGGCGAAAGCCUGACGGAGCGACGCCGCGUGUGGGAAGAAGGCCUUCGGGUCGUAAACCACUGUCGAAGGGGACGAUAAUGACGGUACCUUGGAGGAAGCCCCGGCUAACUACGUGCCAGCAGCCGC
rnacentral:rRNA from 1 species